CGUAAGCUACAACACCGAUGCAGCGAGUUAUCUGGAAUGACCCAUAAAACCGAGGGAUUAACUUGUUACACAGCCGACAGAGCACUAUGACUUGUCGGUAUGGUUGCAAGUUUAAAAGUACCCACUCGCCAACCUCAAAGGUAACAUCUUUUCUUCCCGAUUGAGUUUGGGCUAACAUUCUUUGUUGUGCUCUUAAUAAGUUUUGUUUAAGUGUGGCUAGCAACUUGGUUCUUUCUUGAAAAACAUCUAGAACCACUGGGAAUGUAUUGUUGUUGACAAUGUAACGCGUUAACAUCGGCAGCGAACGUCCAUAGAGCACUUCUAAUGGGGAGAAUCUCGUAGUUGAAUGCUUAGAAGUAUUGUACCAAUACUCUGCCAAGGAUAAGUGUUGAAAACAUCGAGUGGGUUAUGAACCGGUAAAGCAGCUGAGGUAGGUCUGGAGGCACCGGUUGAGUACUUCUGUUUGGCCAUCAGACUAAGGAUGGUAAGAUGAGCUAAAUCAAAGAGUGGUUCUGAGCAACCGAAAGAACUCUUUCCAAAAGGCACUCACAAACAGUCUAUCUCUGUCUGAGACGAUAGAUCUGGGAACCCCAUGUAACCAGACUAUUUCCACCAGGAACCGAUGUGCUAACGAUUAUGCGGUGAAUUUUGUGGGAAGUCCAAUGAAGUGUGCAUAUUUUGACAACAUGUACACUACAACCCAUAUCACAUUGUGCCUUUGGGAGGGAGGUAAGUGAGUAAUGAAAUUUAUUGAUAAAUCUUUCCAUAUUUUUUUCGGUAUUGAUAGAGGUUGUAGUAGCCCGUUUUGUUUUGAAGGAACAUAUUUAUUGUGUUGACAUGGAAUGCAUCUCUCAAUGAAUUGUUUUGUGUCAUGAUACAUGUCUAGCCAAUAACAAGAGGAUGCCACCCGAGCAAGUGUGGGUUUUAAACCGGAAUGUCCUGUUGUGGGAGUUGAGUGAUAUUCAGUCAAAACCACCUUCCUGAGGUCAAGCAAAUCAGGUAUAAAAAUUAUGUUCUCAUAAAACACAAUGUCAUUAUAGAAAUGGAAUUUCUUUUUCAUAUUGGCAUCUGUUUCGCACUUGUUGAUGAGCUGUUUGCCUUCUGAGGUUUUGUAAUGAGUGUGCAACUGAUCCAACAAAACUAGAAUUGGUGAUGAAAGGGAGGUCAGUAAUGCCACUUCGUCCUCGAGACGUCGGGAAAGUGCAUCUACCACUCGCUUAAAGGUACCAGUUCUAUAUUUUAUUUGAAAAUGAAAUCUAAUAAGUUUAGUGGCCCAUUUUUGUUGUUCUGGUGUUUUGCAACCCUUGUGUCAUAAGGUGUUUUAGAUUUUUCUGGUCUGUAUGUGAAAUUUUCGGUAGAUUAAAUACUGACGUCAUUUUUUAACUGUCUUUGUUACAACAAACAUCUCCCGAACAUAAGCUAAGGCAUGUUACAUGCGGGGAACCAUCUUCUUGCUGAAGAAGGCAUCAGAUGUCCUGAUUGUGAAAGAACUGUCCCAAUGGCUAUUGCCGAACUCAACCUCAAAAGUGACUGAGAAAUUAGGCAGAUGAAGAACUAGAGCUUUUGUCAUUUUUGUUUUUAAUGUUGUAAAGAUCAGUUGAGCCUCUAAUGUCCAUGUAAACUUAUUAUGUUUAAGUAGAUCGGUGAGAGGAGCAGUGAGAGUGGCAUAAUGUUUAACAAAUUUCCUAUAAAAGUCGGUGAGUCCUAAAAAGCCCCUGAGUGUCAUGAGAGAUCGAGGUUGUGGCCAAUCCACCAUAGCCUGAAUCUUAUUCGGAUCUGGUUGUACUCCGGCUGCGGAUAUAACAUGUCCCAAGUAGCUAACCUAAUCAACUCAAAUUGACACAUUGAUA
rnacentral:lncRNA from 1 species